AAGAAAAUCUUAAGCCUCUAAAAUAGCGCAAUUUUAUCUGAUGGCUGAACCAUACCUAUGUUUGGAGUCAGGGGCAAUAAAAAUGUCAAUGUAGAAACAACCUGCUGGAGUCACUUCAACAUAUUUAUGUAAAUAAGAACAAACAUAGGGACGGGAGCCAGUCUAUAGGAGUAGCUACAUUUUAGCCGUCCUGGGAUAAAGUGAGCUCUAACCGGUCAUAAAUCAUGUCAAUUAAAGAGUAUUUAUGUACACAAACCUGGAAAAGACGGCAAGGUUGACUAUAGCGUUGCUUCUUUGGUCAAUAUCGUGAAAUUUACAGCCUGCUUCCGGCGAUGAUUUAGGAUCAAAGUUACACACUUAUAUACUAGAUUAAUGGAAAUAAGUAACGCGCACUCAAACUUCAACGUAAUAGUGUGAAAAUGAAAUAAUUUGGAUACAAGGUGAGGCAUAAAAAUGUUAAAAAUUCAUGUAAUUUUUCUAAAAUAUUUUGAGUUUGAAAUGCUAUUGUAUUACACUAAAAUUCGUUUUAUUUUGUGUCGUGCAACUGUGAAUUAACGUCAUUCAAAUCUGGUUAGUAUAAAAGCAAAUCAACUUAAUUUUUGUUGAACAGGUAUUAGGACAUAUUUAUUUAUUCAGUAUUCUAGAAUUUCCCAGUAAUGUAAGUCCAUUGUACCACUUAUAAUUAAUACAUGUAUUUUGUAGAGAAGUUGACGAUACUGUAUAUUAUGUUGUCUAGGUUUUCAAAAUCAGAAACGAAGCAAGAAGAACUUUUCUGAGGCUUAAGUGUUGGAGUUCAGUUGUGAUUGUCAUGCCCUAGGAUAUGCUAAUGGAUUGAUGGAGAAGUAUAUUGAUUCUGUUUCAUUGCAUUUUUUUAGAAAUGUUUACAAAUAUUUCAUUUUCUACAGAUUUUUAUGACAUGUGUUUGACGAGUAAAUUUAGUAGUUCUGAAACUUAUUAAUUCCCACUGCUUACAUUUUUUUUAUUUCUGGUUUUGAACAAUAUUAUACCUGAAGCGAUUACUUUACUAAAUACACAAAUUAUUAAUACUUAUCACAAAAAGACCUCAUUGCGUUUCCCACACAUUUUUACUUGAGUCUGAAAAUUAUUUAAUAUUACAUGGUCAUUUAUUUUUUCUGGGAAAUAUGUAUUUUUUAAAUUUGUUAUUUGCAGUCUGCAAUGUAUAUUUGUUUGAUUUUUUUAUUAUUUUGCCGUUUCAACAGUAUUUCAUAUAAGUAGAACUUCACAUACAUGUAUAAGUUUAAUUUCAUUUUUAAACUUUCCUAGUCAAGUUUCUAUUUGAAAAAAAAAAUUUUAAAAAUGAAAAAUUACAGAAAAGACUAUUGAAUUCUUUUACCCGGCCCGCCACUUAGUACACAUUUAAUUGAUUAUUCCGCAUGGCUGCAUUUGUUCAAAUAGGAAAUUUUGCGCCAAUGUCUGUUUUCCGUUUAUUUUUUAAUAGGUUGCGCGUUUUGUUUUUCAGGAACGUCUGGAUUCAGAUACAGAAAGUUUCAUGGCAGACAUGUACUCAUUUAAAGCAAGUGAAAACCUUGAAAAGUACGAACAACUAAACCAAGAAUUAGGAUACACAUCAUGGGAUAUUGACGUCAGUGGAAACAAAAUGUUUGUACUAGUUGAUCGCAGGAAUAUUAAUGACAAAGUUAAAAGACAUUCAGUGAUAGGGAUGAAGUGGAGGCCUUAUCGAUAAACAAAGAGUCCCCAG